rnacentral:lncRNA from 1 species
GUUGCACGCUGAGCCGCGGACACCAUGCAGUCGGAUGAUUUAUCUGGGAUACACUAGGAAACAAGCAAUUUUGUUCCUUCAAAAUAAGACCAAGACUCAGAGCUUCUGCCGAAAUGAAUAUAGCCUGACUGGACUGUGUAAUCGGUCAUCCUGUCCCCUGGCAAAUAGUCAGUAUGCCACUAUUAAAGAAGAGAAAGACAGUGCUACUUGUAUAUGAAGGUUAUAGAACGAGCGGCUUUUCCUCGGCGUCUCUGGGAACGGUCCGGCUUAGUAAAAACUAUGAGAAAGCACUGGAGCAAAUAGAUGAAAAUCUGAUUUACUGGCCCCGUUUCAUUCGACACAAAUGUAAGCAGAGAUUCACCAAGAUCACCCAAUACCUAAUUCGAAUUAGAAAACUUACA